AAACGAACGCUGGCGGCAGGCUUAACACAUGCAAGUCGAGCGCCCUGCUUGCAGGGAGCGGCAGACGGGUGAGUAACGCGUGGGAACAUACCUUUCGGUUCGGAAUAGCCCCGGGAAACUGGGUGUAAUACCGAAUACGUCCUUAGGGAGAAAGAUUUAUCGCCGAAAGAUUGGCCCGCGUUAGAUUAGAUAGUUGGUGAGGUAACGGCUCACCAAGUCGACGAUCUAUAGCUGGUUUGAGAGGAUGAUCAGCCACACUGGGACUGAGACACGGCCCAGACUCCUACGGGAGGCAGCAGUGAGGAAUCUUGGACAAUGGGCGAAAGCCUGAUCCAGCCAUGCCGCGUGAAUGAUGAAGGCCUUAGGGUUGUAAAAUUCUUUCAGCAGGGAAGAUAAUGACGGUACCUGCAAAAGAAGCCCCGGCUAACUCCGUGCCAGCAGCCGCGGUAAUACGGAGGGGGCUAGCGUUGUUCGGAAUUACUGGGCGUAAAGCGCUCGUAGGCGGAUUGGUCAGUCAGAGGUGAAAGCCCAGGGCUCAACCUUGGAAUUGCCUUUGAUACUGCCAGUCUUGAGUUCAGGAGAGGUAAGCGGAAUUCCGAGUGUAGAGGUGAAAUUCGUAGAUAUUCGGAGGAACACCAGAGGCGAAGGCGGCUUACUGGACUGAUACUGA
rnacentral:rRNA from 1 species